UAAAUCUAUUCCAAAGCCAAGGGCGGACAACCAGUGCAAAGGAAGUGUUGCUUCUUUUUAAAUGGACAUCUGCUCUUGCGGGAUGGCCCAGAUAUCCAGUAGCAAUGGAUUUAAACAGCGCUCCUCACCUUCUUUGGCAGCCGCCAGGUCAAAAGAUGUGGACAAAGAAGAGGCGUUGCAGAUGGAAGCUGAGGCAUUAGCUAAGAUGCAGAAAGAAAGAGGUGUGGCUGGUAAUAAACAAACUUUUAAUUCUUUAAGCAGCACCAGACAAAAAGCACAGGCUCAUAGCAAACAGGACCAUGAUCUCAUGGUGUUUCCAGAGUCUGAUGCCAAGAGCAUGGAAGAUAAACUAAGUACCAUUGACAUAGAGAAGCUUACUCAUGCUGAACUAGAGAAACUGCUGCUAGAUGACAGUUUUGAAUCUAGUAAAGUACGUACGUUACCAGUGAGUCCUAUUUUGAGCCCAUCUGUGUCUUCGCAAUUUUACCUUGGACCUAUGGGUCAGAGAAGACAGUGGAUGUCUGGGAUACCAGCACCUGUGACAUGCCCUUUACCUCCUAUUUACCCCUCAGCUUCUUACACGAAACAGACUGGUGUAUUUCAAAAUGGAUUCCAUCCAAACAUGUCCUCCUGUUACUCUAGAGAACCUAUUUAUCUUGGUCUUCCAAGGCAGUCGCAAUACAUUUCAUACCCAUUGGCAGCUACUACACCUUUCCAUCCACAAGGAAGCCUACCUAUAUAUCCUCCAGUACUUACACCAGAAAUGGCGAAAGUAUUUGACAAAAUUGCAAGCACUUCAGAAUUUCUGAAAAAUGGGAAGUCAAGCACGGAUUUAGAAGUGACUGCUAUAAAGUCUGCAGUUUCUGACUUACCAGCCUCAGAAAGCUGCAGUGAUGUUAGUAAAUUUGAUUGGUUAGAUUUGGAUCCCCUAAGUAAACCAAAAGUGGAUAGUGUGGAGACUUUAAAUAAGGCAGAGAAUGAUGGAGAGAGGGCUUCAGGUAUGACUGCUGAAGAUCCAUGGGAUGCUGUGCUGUUAGAAGAAAAGCUGUUAGUAACUUGUCAUCUGGAAAGAAAAGUUAAUGGGAAAUCUGGAGCAACAGUUACAAGGAGCCAGUCCUUAAACAUGCGAACAACUCAACUUGCAAAGUUACAGGGCCAAACAUCACAG